CACCUGCCUCAGCGUCGGUG
rnacentral:rRNA from 1 species